GCCCGCGUUGUCUAAUGGUUAUGAUAUCAGACUUCUACGCGGUCCGUCCAUAGCGUGAUCUGAAGGUUCCGGGUUCGAGUCCCGGCGUGGGUU